AAAUUGAAGAGUUUGAUCAUGGCUCAGAUUGAACGCUGGCGGCAGGCCUAACACAUGCAAGUCGAGCGGUAGCACAGAGAGCUUGCUCUCGGGUGACGAGCGGCGGACGGGUGAGUAAUGUCUGGGAAACUGCCUGAUGGAGGGGGAUAACUACUGGAAACGGUAGCUAAUACCGCAUAAUGUCGCAAGACCAAAGUGGGGACCUUCGGGCCUCAUGCCAUCAGAUGUGCCCAGAUGGGAUUAGCUAGUAGGUGGGGUAACGGCUCACCUAGGCGACGAUCCCUAGCUGGUCUGAGAGGAUGACCAGCCACACUGGAACUGAGACACGGUCCAGACUCCUACGGGAGGCAGCAGUGGGGAAUAUUGCACAAUGGGCGCAAGCCUGAUGCAGCCAUGCCGCGUGUGUGAAGAAGGCCUUCGGGUUGUAAAGCACUUUCAGCGGGGAGGAAGGCGUUAAGGUUAAUAACCUUGGCGAUUGACGUUACCCGCAGAAGAAGCACCGGCUAACUCCGUGCCAGCAGCCGCGGUAAUACGGAGGGUGCAAGCGUUAAUCGGAAUUACUGGGCGUAAAGCGCACGCAGGCGGUCUGUCAAGUCGGAUGUGAAAUCCCCGGGCUCAACCUGGGAACUGCAUUCGAAACUGGCAGGCUAGAGUCUUGUAGAGGGGGUAGAAUUCCAGGUGUAGCGGUGAAAUGCGUAGAGAUCUGGAGGAAUACCGGUGGCGAAGGCGGCCCCCUGGACAAAGACUGACGCUCAGGUGCGAAAGCGUGGGGAGCAAACAGGAUUAGAUACCCUGGUAGUCCACGCCGUAAACGAUGUCGAUUUGGAGGUUGUGCCCUUGAGGCGUGGCUUCCGGAGCUAACGCGUUAAAUCGACCGCCUGGGGAGUACGGCCGCAAGGUUAAAACUCAAAUGAAUUGACGGGGCCCGCACAAGCGGUGGAGCAUGUGGUUUAAUUCGAUGCAACGCGAAGAACCUUACCUGGUCUUGACAUCCACAGAACUUUCCAGAGAUGGAUUGGUGCCUUCGGGAACUGUGAGACAGGUGCUGCAUGGCUGUCGUCAGCUCGUGUUGUGAAAUGUUGGGUUAAGUCCCGCAACGAGCGCAACCCUUAUCCUUUGUUGCCAGCGGUUAGGCCGGGAACUCAAAGGAGACUGCCAGUGAUAAACUGGAGGAAGGUGGGGAUGACGUCAAGUCAUCAUGGCCCUUACGACCAGGGCUACACACGUGCUACAAUGGCAUAUACAAAGAGAAGCGACCUCGCGAGAGCAAGCGGACCUCAUAAAGUAUGUCGUAGUCCGGAUUGGAGUCUGCAACUCGACUCCAUGAAGUCGGAAUCGCUAGUAAUCGUAGAUCAGAAUGCUACGGUGAAUACGUUCCCGGGCCUUGUACACACCGCCCGUCACACCAUGGGAGUGGGUUGCAAAAGAAGUAGGUAGCUUAACCUUCGGGAGGGCGCUUACCACUUUGUGAUUCAUGACUGGGGUGAAGUCGUAACAAGGUAACCGUAGGGGAACCUGCGGUUGGAUCACCUCCUUA
rnacentral:rRNA from 1 species